rfam:Danio rerio chromosome 4, GRCz11 reference primary assembly.
GUCAGGAUGGCCGAGCGGUCUAAGGCGCUGCGUUCAGGUCGCAGUCUCCUCUGGAGGCGUGGGUUUGAAUCCCACAUCUGACA